UACGUAGGGAGCAAGCGUUGUCCGGAAUCAUUGGGCGUAAAGCGCGCGUAGGUGGCUUCGUAAGUCCGUUGUGAAAGUCAAAGGCUCAACCUUUGAAAGCCGAUGGAUACUGCGGAGCUAGAGUACGGAAGAGGCGAGUGGAAUUCCUGGUGUAGCGGUGAAAUGCGCAGAUAGUCAGGAGGAACACCGGUGGCGAAGGCGGGUCUCUGGGCCGAUGACUGACGCUGAGGAGCGAAAGCGUGGGGAGCGAACAGG
rnacentral:rRNA from 1 species